CUUUUGGUGAUCAGUAGCAGGGCGACGAGGCCUCUAAUGUGUCAUGCUCAACCCCAACUUGUCUCAAAAAUGACACCGGCCAGCAGCCCAACUUUUUGCGCGUUGAGCCCUAGAUUUUAAGCAUCUACAUAUCCAUGAACAUGCCCUCCUAAUUUUCACUGACGAUGUCAUAUCUAUGAUCUGCUAUUGCAAGAAGACUCACAAGCAACGAUGAGAUCUUCCACGUGAGGCGAAGUUUAGUACUAUGAAGCUUGCGUUAAUUGAGUGUAUGUUUUUUUACGUAAAUUCAUUUAUGAACUAGGAUUAUUUA